UUUUUUUUUUUUUUUUAAUCAAAAGUUUUUGGUGUAGGAGUUUCCGCUAUGGCUCAGUGGUAAAGAGGCCCAACUAGCACCCCUGAGGACAUGGGUUCGAUCCCUGGUCUUGCUCAGUAGGUUAAGGAUCCGCCUUGUCAUAAGCUGUGGUGGAGGUGGCAGAAUCAGUUAGGAUCCUGAGUUGCUGUGGUUGUGCUGUAGGCUGGCAGCUCUCCAUUAGACCCCUAGCCUAGGAACCUCCCUGUUCCUUGGGUGUGGCCCUAAAAAGCAAAGAAGAAAAAAAAAAAGGUUUUGGUGUAUAUGGAGAACAUUUAUAUCAAAAAAGGUGUCACACAGAAGAUAUCCAGGAGCUGUUGCAUUCUUAUCCCUGCACCGGUCACUGGGGACUUGAAGGAAAAGAGGCAGAAAAUCAAGCUGGAUUUAAACCAAUCCUAACGAUGACUGUUACAGACUGAAUAUUUACGUCCCUUCCAAGCUCACUGGUUGAAGCCCUAAUCCAGACAGGAUGGUACCUGGAGGUGGGACCUUUGGGAGGGAAUUAGAUGAUGAGGGCAGAGCACUCCGGAAUGGACACCGGCUCAGUGCCCUUGGAAGAGGUCCGUGACGUGAGGCCUCAGGGAGAAGCUGGCAGCUGCCAAACCAGAGGAGGGCUCCCCUUGGAACCCAACCAGGCUCCAACCCUGAUCUCCAACAUCUAGUCUUCCGAACUGCAGCAAAUACACAUCUCUGUUUGUAAGCCACUCAGUCUACGGUACUUUUUAUCGCAGGCCAAACUAAGAUAAUGACCACAAAACCAAUGAAUCUGACCUUCCCACAUCUGAAAGCUCCAAGUGGGUCUGUGAGGCUCUCAGAUCCUAACUUUCCACACCUCAGGAAGACUAAUGCCACGCUCUUGUGUAUCUACACCUGUUACAAGGAUACUCCUCUCGAGGAAGAGAGAACAGGAGAAAAACAACAAAACACAAGGGGGUCAAUUUUCCAAAAACCGAUUGAGUUACCCUUAGUGUCCUCAAAGACACGUACUUACAACACAAUUUUCCCCAUUAAAACUCCCCUUUCUUCACUUUUGGGGGGGGAGGGAAUGGAGGGGAGGUGGGCUGUGCCAGCAGCACACAGAAGUACCUGAGACAGGGAUCAAACCUGUGCCACAACAGUGACAAGGCCAGAUCCUUAACCCCUUCCACUGAGCCUUCAGGGAACUCCACUUUUAGGGAAAAUUUGAAGACCUUACUGUAGGAAUUUUGUAUUAUAGACUAUUAUACUAUACUAUCUUCCGCUACUGUAAUCACGAAGUAAAUAGCGGAGAGAUCCCAACAGAGGGACAAGCUAUAAAAUACCUGACCAGCAGUCCUCCUCUUCCAAACUGCCAAGGUCAUCCAAAACAAGGCAAGUCUGGGAAACGGUGAUAGUCAAGAGAAGCCACGACAGGGUAAAUCAACGUAAAAAGGUAUCCCGGACGGCCUCUGCAACAGAAAGGUGUGAUGGGGAGACACUGAGGAAAUCUGAAGAAAGGCCAGGCUUUGGUUAAGCAUAAAGUAUCAUUAAUUAUGACAAAUGCACCACACUAAUACAAAACGUGAACUGGGGCCACUGUUAACAAGGAUGUGGAGCAUAGGGAAACGAGGACCUCUUGCAAUUUUUCUGUAAAUCAUAACGUUUACUGAAACAAACCAUGAAUGGCAUCCCGUUAGUUUGUGUUUAAAAUACCGUUUCAAUGACAAAAGACAACAGCAUUACUCCUGCAGGUGGACAAACCAGGGGCCUCAAAACACCUUAGUGCAAUGUCAGAAAUUUUAAGAGGAGCAGAGAGAAAAGUGGUCCCCUUGCCCA
ensembl:lncRNA